UGCACCUGGUGGGGCUCCACGCCCGCGUCCAGGCAGUGCGCGGCGAGCGCGCCCGCGACCUCGCCGAUGUUCCACUCGACGGGGUGCAGCC
rnacentral:tRNA from 1 species